UACGUAGGGCGCAAGCGUUAUCCGGAAUUACUGGGCGUAAAGGGCUCGUAGGCGGCCAACUAAGUCCGACGUGAAAUCCCUCGGCUUAACCGGGGAACUGCGUCUGAUACUGGAUGGCUUGAGGUUGGGAGAGGGAUGCGGAAUUCCAGGUGUAGCGGUGAAAUGCGUAGAUAUCUGGAGGAACACCGGUGGCGAAGGCGGCUCUCUGGACCACAACUGACGCUGAGGCGCGAAAGCGUGGGGAGCAAACAGG
rnacentral:rRNA from 1 species